UACGUAGGGGGCAAGCGUUAAUCGGAAUUACUGGGCGUAAAGCGCACGUAGGUGGUUUGUUAAGCUAGCUGUGGAAGCCCCGGGCUCAACCUGGGAAUUGCAGUUAGAACUGGCAGGCUAGAGUACAGUAGAGGGGUGUGGAAUUUCAGGUGUAGCGGUGAAAUGCGUAGAUAUCUGAAGGAACACCAGUGGCGAAGGCGACACCCUGGACUGAUACUGACGCUGAGGUGCGAAAGCGUGGGGAGCAAACAGG
rnacentral:misc_RNA from 1 species